AAAAACAGUAAACAUGGAGAAGUCAAGCCCAGUAUGACGGGCAGGAUCCAAAGACUUGAGACAAAGCAACAAUAUAUACACUUGUGGGUAGAACACUCUAGAACAAUACCCAUAUAGGGGAAACAAGUAACCAGUAGGGAAGCAGAACUUGGACAACUUAGCAUAACAACACUAAAGGCUUAUCAGGGAAUUCCCAAGCUCAUCCUAAGGUAAACAAAUGACUCCCAAGGCUUGAAACUCACGCCUGGUUCAUCCAGGACAAAAUCUGGCUCACUCCAAGUUACAGCCGAGCUAACUCCCACACUGCUGAUUUGCACUGGCCCCUUGGGACCAUGGGGCCCAACAGAGCCACAGUGAUGUCCUUGGUUCCACGAGGCUCCACAGUGUCACAAUGGUCCCUUGGAUCCAUGGUGCUCUGCAGUGUCACAAUAGCCCCUUCAUUUCACAAGGCCACAAAGUGUCACAUUGGUCUCCAUAGGAAGGAAACCACAGAACCCCCAUGUUUCAGGAGCUGAAGAACAGCAGCCGCCAGAGGCCAAGACAUUUGUGCCUGGAGAAGGAGGAUUUUUUCCACAAAAAGAGAAGCAUAGAGCCCUUUCCAGUGUUUGGAAAACAGGAGUGCCUGUGCUGGGGAAAUGUGGCAGAAAUGCUGCUCUUGGAGGGGUUGGAGUGCCUUGGAUAGCUGACUCAGUCAGGCCUGUAAGUAAGGUUAAGUCACAAGGUCUAAGCUAAGUUAAAUGCUAGUAAGAGUUGUUCUUUUGCUCAGUCGUUUAGCUUAACAUAAGUUAUAAGCUAAGUUAAACAUUGUUAAGUGUUACUUCUCUUUUAAAUUGCAAAGUCAUAGGUUAUAAGUGAGGUUAAAUACUCUUAAGCUCUGUUCUUUUGCUAAAUUAUGAAAUUGAAGGCAUCAGUUCAGGUUAAGGUAUAAAUGAAAUCCUAAGUUGUUAUGCUUAAUAUAAGUUAUUAGCUAAAUUAAAUAUU